rnacentral:rRNA from 1 species
GCUUACGGCCAUAACAACCUGGCUAUGCCCGAUCUCGUCUGAUCUCGGAAGCUAAGCAGGUUUGGGCCUGGUUAGUACUGGAUGGGAGACCGCCUGGGAAUACCGGGUGCUUUAAGCU